rnacentral:rRNA from 1 species
GACGUAGGAGGCGAGCGUUGUCCGGAUUCAUUGGGCGUAAAGAGCGCGCAGGCGGCUUGGUAAGUCGGAUGUGAAAUCCCGAGGCUCAACCUCGGGUCUGCAUCCGAUACUGCCCGGCUAGAGGUAGGUAGGGGAGAUCGGAAUUCCUGGUGUAGCGGUGAAAUGCGCAGAUAUCAGGAGGAACACCGGUGGCGAAGGCGACUACCUGGCCUGUUCUUGACGCUGAGGCGCGAAAGCUAGGGGAGCAAACGGG